GAAUAUUCUCAUGCUUAUUUAAACGAGCCUUUGGCUUUGUUUUAGGUAAGUUUACGGUUUAUAUUUACUUCGGACAAUCGACAAAUUUAAAGCCCAUGCCCUUUCAGUUAAGGUUUUACGUUUCGAAUCCGAAUCCAAAACUCAGCGUAAGUGGGUUAUAGGACAGCUAGUGAUAACGUAAUUUAUCUUUUUAUUUUUAUUUUUUGUUCAUAACGUAAUUUAUUAGCUAAAUGUAUGGAGUGCGAGAGUGUGCGCCGUGUGUAUAGGAUGCAUGGGGUUAGGCUAAACUAAAGGAAUUAAAAUUUCUAAAAGUAGGUUAAAAGACAAUCCAGUGCAUGCCUUUUCUAAAAAAAACCAUUUAAUAUCUCAAAAUCACGAACAUUUAUCCAGUUUUAUUAUUUAAACUAAAUUUAUUCUGCCGUAUCAAAAUAUUUGGAGCAAAAACAUGCGGGUUAAGACGUUUCGCCACUUUCGUAUAUUUUGGAAAGUAAACUUCAUGUAUAAGAGGCAAGUAAGCAACUCACCUUAUUUCUAUAUGAGGUCUUUUGUAAUCGUCAACCUUUAAUUUAUCUGUUUAUGUUUGGCCUAAAAUAUCCAAAUUACUCGAAUAAAUUAAGUAUAUUUUACCGAAAUUUUAAUUCCUUCAGUUUUAAGGGUGGGCAGUUCGGGCUGGUGGCGGGUUGGGCAGUUGUGAGUGUCUGUGUGAUGGUGAGGAAAGCGGAAGUUACGAAUGGAGUGCAGGUAGCUUAGGACCGAGGAAGACAGCUUAGGAACGAGGCAGACAGCUUAGGACUGAGGCAGUUGGUAGGAAUCAGUGGGGGGCACUUGUCAUUUCGGCCAUGGGAUUCAAAAUUUGCAUGCUGAGUAUUUGUUACUAAUGCUUUUUGUUUUAAUUUGCUAUAGGUAUGCGCGUGGCUGCUCUCAAGAGAAGAUCAACUUAGCAAUUUGCAUUAGCAUUUGCAAGGUUGGUCUUCUCUUCGCCCCGCUACCCCGGCUGGCUCUCCGAGUGCUAUCUCUACUUUAAGUAGAAGUACUUUUACUAUAUAGUAGAAGUACUUCUGCUUGAAGUAGAGGUAGCACUUGGGGAGCCGGCCGGGGUAGGGGGAUUUUUUUUAUUUUUUUUUUCAAUUCCCAUGGGAAUUGAAUUUUUAAUUAAAAAGGAGUCUCUUGUAUAAUUAAUGAACAAUUUAUUGAAAAGAACUUGUAAUUUUACAAUUUGAAUAACAAUAAAAAAGAGAACAACCACUGCAUAUUGUACUUAUUUAAAUAACAAUAGAAGAAAACAGAACAUGGCACAAGGAGAGAACAAUUAACAUUGUGUUCAACACAAGUGAAUAAACACAACAUUAAUUAAACAUGUUUACCCAUG
rnacentral:lncRNA from 1 species